CCUACGGGAGGCAGCAGUGGGGGAUAUUGCACAAUGGGGGAAACCCUGAUGCAGCGACGCCGCGUGUGGGAAGACGGUCUUCGGAUUGUAAAGCUCUUUCGGACGUGACGAUGAUGACGGUAGCGUCUAAAGAAGCACCGGAAGACUUCGUGCCAGCAGCCGCGGUAAUACGAAGGGUGCGAGCGUUGUUCGGAAUUACUGGGCGUAAAGGGAGUGUAGGCGGAUAUGUAAGAUAGCGGUGAAAUGCCGGGGCUCAACCCCGGAACUGCCAUUAUGACUAUGUAUCUAGAGUAAUGGAGAGGAUAGCGGAAUACCCAGUGUAGAGGUGAAAUUCGUAGAUAUUGGGUAGAACACCGGUGGCGAAGGCGGCUAUCUGGCCAUUUACUGACGCUGAGGCUCGAAAGCAUGGGGAUCAAACAGGAUUAGAUACCCGGGUAGUC
rnacentral:rRNA from 1 species